rnacentral:rRNA from 1 species
UACAGAGGUCUCAAGCGUUGUUCGGAUUCAUUGGGCGUAAAGGGCGCGUAGGCGGCGGGGUAAGUCGGGUGUGAAAUCUCAGAGCUCAACUCUGAAACUGCACUCGAUACUGCUCUGCUUGAGGACUGGAGAGGAGACUGGAAUUCACGGUGUAGCAGUGAAAUGCGUAGAUAUCGUGAGGAAGACCAGUGGCGAAGGCGGGUAUCUGGACAGUUCCUGACGCUGAGGCGCGAAGGCCAGGGGAGCAAACGGG